rnacentral:rRNA from 1 species
UUUAAAGAGAGUUUGAUCCUGGCUCAGGACGAACGCUGGCGGCGUGCCUAAUACAUGCAAGUCGAACGAACGGAGGAAGAGCUUGCUCUUCCAAAGUUAGUGGCGGACGGGUGAGUAACACGUGGGCAACCUGCCUGUAAGUUGGGGAUAACUCCGGGAAACCGGGGCUAAUACCGAAUAAUAAGAUGUGGCGCAUGCCACGCCUUUGAAAGAUGGUUUCGGCUAUCGCUUACAGAUGGGCCCGCGGUGCAUUAGCUAGUUGGUAGGGUAAUGGCCUACCAAGGCAACGAUGCAUAGCCGACCUGAGAGGGUGAUCGGCCACACUGGGACUGAGACACGGCCCAGACUCCUACGGGAGGCAGCAGUAGGGAAUCUUCCGCAAUGGACGAAAGUCUGACGGAGCAACGCCGCGUGUAUGAAGAAGGUUUUCGGAUCGUAAAGUACUGUUGUUAGAGAAGAACAAGGAUAAGAGUAACUGCUUGUCCCUUGACGGUAUCUAACCAGAAAGCCACGGCUAACUACGUGCCAGCAGCCGCGGUAAUACGUAGGUGGCAAGCGUUGUCCGGAUUUAUUGGGCGUAAAGCGCGCGCAGGCGGUCUUUUAAGUCUGAUGUGAAA